AUUGAACGCUGGCGGCAUGCUUUACACAUGCAAGUCGAACGGCAGCACGGGGGCAACCCUGGUGGCGAGUGGCGAACGGGUGAGUAAUGCAUCGGAACAUACCCAGUCGUGGGGGAUAACGUAGCGAAAGUUACGCUAAUACCGCAUACGUCCUGAGGGAGAAAGCGGGGGAUCGCAAGACCUCGCGCGAUUGGAGUGGCCGAUGUCAGAUUAGCUAGUUGGUAGGGUAAAGGCCUACCAAGGCGACGAGCUGUAGCGGGUCUGAGAGGAUGAUCCGCCACACUGGGACUGAGACACGGCCCGGACUCCUACAGGAGGCAGCAGGGGGGAAUUUUGGACAAUGGGGGCAACCCUGAUCCAGCCAUGCCCCGUGCGGGAAGAAGGCCUUCGGGUUGUAAACCGCUUUCGGACGGAAAGAAAUCGCCCCUCCUAAUACGGGGGGUGGAUGACGGUACCGUAAGAAGAAGCACCGGCUAACUACGUGCCAGCCGCCGCGGUAAGAC
rnacentral:rRNA from 1 species